AACGAACGCUGGCGGCAUGCCUAACACAUGCAAGUCGAACGAGACCUUCGGGGCUAGUGGCGCAAGGGUGCGUAACGCGUGGGAAUCUGCCCUUGGGUUCGGAAUAACAGUUGGAAACGACUGCUAAUACCGGAUGAUGUCGUAAGUCCAAAGAUUUAUCGCCCAGGGAUGAGCCCGCGUAGGAUUAGCUAGUUGGUGGGGUAAAGGCCUACCAAGGCGACGAUCCUUAGCUGGUCUGAGAGGAUGAUCAGCCACACUGGGACUGAGACACGGCCCAGACUCCUACGGGAGGCAGCAGUGGGGAAUAUUGGACAAUGGGCGAAAGCCUGAUCCAGCAAUGCCGCGUGAGUGAUGAAGGCCUUAGGGUUGUAAAGCUCUUUUACCCGGGAUGAUAAUGACAGUACCGGGAGAAUAAGCCCCGGCUAACUCCGUG
rnacentral:rRNA from 1 species